CAAAUAAAAUCAAUCCUGAAAAUAACUAUAUAGUAACUGCACACAGUGUGGGUGUCCUAUCUAGGUACAUCUCUGGGAGGAUGUGAAGGUUUUGUGCCAGUACUGCUCUAGUGUGAUGUGUGUCAGGGGUUUGAGUGACAUGGAUUCACUGCCCUGUGGAUCCCCAAGGUCACGGUCCUUGGAUAAUGAUGAUGUUAAAUAACAUAUUCUGCUACUACUCUUUCCUCUGGGCAGGUCUCAUGUACUCAGGCCAACCCGAGACUUGCUGUGUAGCUGGGAAGGACCUUUAACGUCUGCCCUCCAGCUUUAGUCCUUGGGAUGGCAGGCCUGUAUCAUCCUGUCUACCUUAUGUGGUGCUAGGGAUGGAACCCAAGGCCUCAUGGGUACCAGAGGAGCACUCAGCCACCUGGGUUACAAUCCAGGGCUAGUUUGGUUUGGUUUGGUUUGGUUUGGUUUGGUUUGGUUUGGUUUGGUUUGGUUUGGUUUGGUUUGGAGACAGGUUUUACUCUGUAGACCAGGCUGGCCUUGAGCUCACAGAGUUCUGCCUGCCUCAGCCUCCCAAGUGCUGGAAUCAAAGUUGUGAUCUCCACACCUGGCUUUUUUGGGGGUGGCAGUGGGAGCAUAUAUGAUGCAGAUGGAGAUCAGAGGUCAGCUUGUCGGUCCUCUCCUACCAUGUGUGUCCUAGGGCUAACACUUCUUAGGUUGUCAGUCUUGUCCAAGAGCUCUUUCACCUCUGUACCCUCUUGCUGGCCUGAUGGUUUCAAACAUGGUUUCUCCCUGUGCUCCAGGCAGGCCUCAGACUCCUGGGUUCAAGCAGCCCUCUGUCUUCACUGUCUUCCCAGUGUUGCUAGGACCACAUGUAUGGAUUAGCAUCCCUAGCUCUCACUCAGUUACAACAGACCAAGCUGGGAUGGGGCUGUAGGUAGAGUGCUUGGAGCUCGGUAGAUAGAAUGCUCACCUAGCAUGUACAAAGUAUGGGUUCCAUCCCCAGGUUCACGUAAACCUGUGCUGGGGAGAGCAUGGUAGCUCACAACUGUCCAUGAUGCCAGUUCCAGGGGAUCUGACACCUUCUAACUUCCGUGAACAUCACGUGGCACACAGGCAUACACAAAGGCAGAAUACCCAGACAUAUGAAGUAAAACUAAAUAAAGGUUUUUAAAUAUCACAGUUAUUUAAAAAGAACAAAACUGGGCUUGGAGAGUUGGGCAGUACAUAGCUUCUCUGGUGAAUUGUGCCAAAACACAAGGACCUGAAUUCAAAUCCUGUGAUGCACAUGAACACAGCAGCACUCAUGUGCAGUCCCAGGAGCACUACAGAGACGACGUGGAAGCAGGAGGGGCCCUGGAGGAGGUCCGGCAGACAACCUGCAGUGCAUAGCAGUGAUAGUGAGGACCCAGAAGAUGUGGAGGCAGGAGGGACCCUGGAGGAGGUCAGGCAGACAGCCUGCAGUACAUAGCAGUGAUAGCGAGGAUCCAGAAGGUGCUGGAGAACUGACAUCUGGUGCCUCCUCAUGUAUGUCACAUCAUGUGCAUGUAGUCAGAGCACUCGGAACCAGCGGUUUAAGGCCAGCCUGGGCUACAUGAGACCCUGUCUCAAGAAACAGAGUUUUCACAUCCAUUUUACCAUAAUAAAAUUUAACACAGAGAGGUAUGAUCACUGACCUGGGACCACACAGCUGGUGGAAAGACCCACAGGCUGCCCCAACCCAUGGGGCACAUCCUGGACCCUUGUGGGAAUUAAGACAGUGUCUAACAUGGGUAGAUCAGGACUGAGGCUUCUUCCUGUGAGUGUCACCAUCUCUCUGUCUCCCAGGACCAACUCUGACUCUGCCCUGCACCAGAGCACAAUGACACCCAGCCAGGCAGAGUCCUUCACAGGCGGGUCCCAGGAUGCGCACCAGAAGAGAGGUAUAUGAGGAAUUCGGUGUUUCUGCCAGGCUCAGGCAACCCAGUAGCCUGCAUGUCCCAGGAGGUCACUAGUCUUUGGGGGACUGACAUUUAGAGGAAGAAUCAGAAUAGGACAAAUGUUUUCAGGGCAUCUUUUCCACACGGGGCCCUCGCCGAUGUACACUGGCUGUGUUCUAGGCCUGUGACUGAUUGAGAUGCUGAUAUCUCAAAAAGCAGAGCAGAGAGGAUUUGUUUACUCACACAGUAGCCAAGGAUAGACCCCAGCAGUAGGUACCACUUGGUCCAGGACUCCAGCUCUACUGCCCAGAACCAUCUUCAUCCUCCCUUGGGCCCAGCCUGCUAACCCUAUCUGAGAAAGGAGCCCUCUCCAUCCCAGAUUUGUGGUGAGCCAUGCACUGGCUGGCCAUGCUCACAGCCCUGUAGCUGAGGCUGCACCCCAGUUCUGGGCUCCCACAUGGUGCUAGUCCUCGACACAGCUCUUCCACCAAUUGUCUUGAAGAGUAAGGACUGUGGGUUCUGUAAAGCUAGGUGCAGCAGACCCACCCAGCCUUAGACACCAAAGCCAAGGAAGUCACCCCUCAUGCAUCUGAGGCCCAGAUGCUAAUAAGGGAGGGCCUGUGUGUGGCAGUUCACUGGGUCCCGGGGAGCUGUUCCUGACUGAAGGACUCAUCCUGGGGGUGGGAGUUGCUUGGUGGGCAGCCAGCUGCAGGCUGAAGACCCUGUGUGCAGUGCAGGAGGGUUGAGGUUAGAUGGACCUGUGGGCCCUCCUUACACAGGGCUUCUGGGAUGCACCUGAGGUCUCAUGCCCUCUCAGUAUUCUGUGCUCAGAAUCCAACCAGCCUUGAUGUGGGAGGACCCAUGCCCCCUGUCCCCACGCCCCUAGAGGUCUCCUGGCUGCAGCCUUCUGGCACCCUGUUCUGCUUUCCAUGGAGUUCUUCCCAUCGGCCAUUGAUUGUCUCUCCUGGCCCAGAGAAAAAAAUGAACCUGGCAAGAGUCAGAAAACAUAGGGCCCAGCUUAGCAACAGAACAUUUGCUGAGCAUGUGUGGAGUCCUAGGUCUGUCCCCAGCAUAGC
rnacentral:lncRNA from 1 species